rnacentral:rRNA from 1 species
GACGAACGCUGGCGGCGUGCUUAACACAUGCAAGUCGAACGCUGAAGCUUGGUGCUUGCACUGGGUGGAUGAGUGGCGAACGGGUGAGUAAUACGUGAGUAACCUGCCCUUGACUCUGGGAUAGGCCUGGGAAACUGGGUCUAAUACUGGAUACGACAUGCCACUGCAUGGUGGUGUGUGGAAAGGGUUUUACUGGUUUUGGAUGGGCUCACGGCCUAUCAGCUUGUUGGUGGGGUAAUGGCCUACCAAGGCGACGACGGGUAGCCGGCCUGAGAGGGUGACCGGCCACACUGGGACUGAGACACGGCCCAGACGCCUACGGGAGGCAGCAGUGGGGAAUAUUGCACAAUGGGCGGAAGCCUGAUGCAGCGACGCCGCGUGAGGGAUGACGGCCUUCGGGUUGUAAACCUCUUUCAGCACGGAAGAAGCGAGAGUGACGGUACGUGCAGAAGAAGCGCCGGCUAACUACGUG